AGCGAACGCUGGCGGCAGGCCUAACACAUGCAAGUCGAACGAACUCUUCGGAGUUAGUGGCGGACGGGUGAGUAACACGUGGGAACGUGCCUUUAGGUUCGGAAUAACUCAGGGAAACUUGUGCUAAUACCGAAUGUGCUCUUCGGGGGAAAGAUUUAUCGCCUUUAGAGCGGCCCGCGUCUGAUUAGCUAGUUGGUGAGGUAAAGGCUCACCAAGGCGACGAUCAGUAGCUGGUCUGAGAGGAUGAUCAGCCACAUUGGGACUGAGACACGGCCCAAACUCCUACGGGAGGCAGCAGUGGGGAAUCUUGCGCAAUGGGCGAAAGCCUGACGCAGCCAUGCCGCGUGAAUGAUGAAGGUCUUAGGAUUGUAAAAUUCUUUCACCGGGGACGAUAAUGACGGUACCCGGAGAAGAAGCCCCGGCUAACUUCGUG
rnacentral:rRNA from 1 species